rnacentral:rRNA from 1 species
AGUCUGGAACAACUAGAGGAAACUCUAGCUAAUGCCGGAUGAGACCACGAUCCCUUCGGGGGUUGCCGGCCAAAGAUGGCCUCUACUUGUAAGCUAUCGCUGAGGAUGGGCCUGCGGGCCAUUAGCUUGUUGGUGAGGUAACGGCUCACCAAGGCUGUGAUGGCUAGCUGGUCUGAGAGGAUGACCAGCCACACUGGGACUGAGACACGGCCCAGACUCCUACGGGAGGCAGCCAGUGGGGAAUAUUGCGCAAUGGGCGAAAGCCUGACGCAGCGACGCCGCGUGGGUGAUGAAGGCCUUCGGGUCGUAAAGCCCUGUCGCAGGGGAAGAAUAAGCAUCGGUAUAAUACGCCGGUGCCCUGACGGUACCCUGCAAGAAAGCACCGGCUAACUCCGUG